GAUGAAGAACGUAGCAAAAUGCGAUAAGUAAUGUGAAUUGCAGAAUUCAGUGAAUCAUCGAAUCUUUGAACGCACAUUGCGCCCGCCAGUAUUCUGGCGGGCAUGCCUGUUCGAGCGUCAUUUCAACCAUCAAGCCCCCGGCUUGUGUUGGGGACCUGCGGCUGCCGCAGGCCCUGAAAUGCAGUGGCGGGCUCGCUGUCACUCCGAGCGUAGUAGUUACAUCUCGCUCUGGGCGUGCUGCGGGUUCCGGCCGUUAAAAGCCUUAUUUACCCAAGGUUGACCUCGGAUCAGGUAGGAAGACCCGCUGAACUUAAGCAUAUCAAUAAGCGGAGGA
rnacentral:misc_RNA from 1 species